CCGCUCUACUCCUGGACUCAGACGGAAUUGUAACCACGGAAAAACGAUGGGUCGCCUGGGCAGUGGUGAAGGGCCGGGCAGAAGGAGCCAAGGAAGCACCAGUGGCCUCUGUCCCAGGCUGCUAAAUGUUGACACCCAAGUCCUAUUUCACAUCAGCACAGAGAGAGGAACAUAACUGGCGCAUGGGCUGAUGAGCACCACCCCAUCCUGUGGAUGUGGAAGCUGAGACCUGCUGAGAGGAUCUACCAAGAACACCAUCACAAGGGAAGGGAGAGGAUCUGAGCCCGGAGUGAACGCCAGCAUCUCGCCGCCUACUCUCCGCCGGCUGCCAGAGGAUCAAAGUGAACGGGAGCAAGGAGAGAAGAACAGGGUGCUUGAAGAGGACUUUGGGGCUGGGAUAGAGAGGGAGAGAGAGAGAGAAGAGGAGGUGGGAGGGGGAAACCAUUGGGCAUGGCCCAGCAAGGGCCUGCGUGUGUGGACAGCACGUAGGUAAGGUGGGCGCUUUCUGUGUGCCCAGACCUUGCUACAGCCUGAAGCAUGUCGUCACAUUUACUCAUCAGAUGACCUAUGACCUAGUGCUGUCACAGCUGGUCAAGGGAACCAGGAUCAAACUAGGACCAGACCCCAAAGCACCCCCUGUUUGCUGAGCACAACAGCUCAACCCCCAGACCCUGAUGGAGCUUCUGCUUGAGGAAACAUCCCCACCCCACCCCCAACCCCCACUCUGCUGUGCGGCCUAUAGCCAAAUCACUUAACGUCUCUGAGCCACCUUUCCUUCAUUUAUAAAACAGCGAUGUAAUACUCAUAGAAUCAGAGAAAGGGGAAGAUAUUUUCAGACAUAAGAAUUCUUUAGGGGAGAGCAAGGUUUGCCAGGUAGAAGUCCAGGUGGGCAGGAAGCAGAUAGGAUACACGGGAACCCGCUGGUCAGGGGCUCUUCAGAAUCAAGGCUCACUUUCUUGGAGACGUGGGGGAGCAGAAUUGGGGUGGGGCAGAGCUGGCACCCUUCCCUCUAAUCUCGCAGACCUCCUUUAAUGGGCGAAUUCAAGAUGCCUGGUGUGUGUGUCGGGGGGUGGGGGGGGCGUGUGCCUGGAAGAGAGACAGCUGAACCUUGACCUUGAUAUGACCUAGGAGACAUGGCCAACAUCACAGAGGGUCUGUGCUUCAGAGCAGGAGCCCCAGGAGCUGGCAGUGCAUUCAGUGUGUACCAGCAGGGCUGGAACCCAUCCUGGCUGUCAGGUGCAUGAGAUGCACCACCUGGCCUCCCAUGCCCACCUUGCUGCCCUGAUGGCGAAAGCACAUCUGUCCUUCAGAGUCCAACCUUGCUGUGUCCAGGACCCUCUGCCCUGCACACUUCAUCCCUUUCAGCAUACUGUCACCCCCACGAUGGAAAGGUUCCAACAUUUAGUGCAAAAAAGAAAAAAAAAUCAAGGCCACGACCUCCUGAAUUCUGGGGUUCUUCCCAGCUAACCCCUGGCUCCUACAUCUCUUCUUGUUAUAACAUUGUGACAAGGUUACAAAGAACCUUGUAUCCUGUGGAUGUGUCUCUGUCCUUGUGGCCCAUGACUUCUUUGGUACAUCUGACUCUUGAGAUCACACCCUCCUUCUGGAAGCUCCCUCGCCUAGGUUUCUGUGACUUGGUUUCUUUCCUAUGUUACAAGAGAGGGAGGGGAAAUUCUAGAACUUUCUACAAGUCAAAAGUGUUCAGGGGAAUGAUCAACGGCCGUGGGAGGGAGGAGGAAGAGGGACUGUGUCUAGCAUGCAUGCUGUCUUAGUUACAUUCCUGCAACUGUUAUAAAAUACCCUGACAAAAGCAACUUCAGGGAGCCAGGGUUCACUUGGCUCUCAGUUCCAGGAUACAACAGUCCAUGGUCAGCAAAGCCACACUGACAGGGACUUGAAGCACAUGGUCACAGUGCACACACAGUUGAGAGCAGAGAAGUGACUGAUGCCCGCAAGCUGGUGCUCAGCCCACUUUGUCUACUCUUGUGCAAUUUAGAGUCCCCCACUUAGGGAAUGAUGCCACCCAGAGUGGGCUGAGUCUUCCCAUCUGAAUUAAUGCAAUCAAGACAGUCCUCCAUAAACUCAUCCACAAACCCAUCUGAUCUAGACAAUCCGUCUUGAAGACUCUCUUCCAAGGUGAUUCUCUGCUGUGUCAAGUUGACAAAGCAUCAUCACAGGAGGGACACAGGGUAUUAAGGAUAAUCCCAGUUAUCAGCACCCAUAAGGCAGGCCCUGGGAGUGCUCAAGGCAUCUGAUUCUCACCACACCUGGGAGGGGGUUAUGGUUGGUCUUUCUAGUUUCUAUUGAAAAGAGGAGGACAAGAUAUGUACCAGGAAAGGAAAAGAGUUUGUCCAAGGGCUCCCAGGAUGCUGGAAAACAGACUGUUUUGUUUCCUCUCGAAAUGUGUUUCUGGAAGACUUUUCCCUUUUGCAACAUCUGGAAUCUUUGUUGUUGUUGUUGUUACAUUAUAACGGAUCGUUACCU